rfam:Dipodomys ordii contig_54433, whole genome shotgun sequence.
GGGAAGGUAGCUCAGUGGUAGAGUGCUUGCCUUGCAUGCAUGAGGCCUUGGGUUCAACUUCUCAGCACCA